GUAAAUAAUUAAGGGCGUAUGGUGGAUGCCUAGGCUCUCAGAGGCGAUGAAGGACGUGAUAAGCUGCGAAAAGCUCCGUUUAGGUGCAAAUAACCUUUGAUGCGGAGAUCUCCGAAUGGGAUAACCCAAUAUGUUGAAGACAUAUUAUACCGUAAGGUAGGCAAACGCAGGGAACUGAAACAUCUAAGUACCUGCAGGAGAAGAAAACAAAAGUGAUUCCCCCAGUAGCGGCGAGCGACCGGGGAUAAGCCCAAACCGUUAUUGUUUCGGCAGUAGCGGGGUAGUAGGACUGCGACAUUGAUGAAAUAAAUGAAAUGGAACACCUUGGAAAAUGUGAUCACAGAGGGUGAUAAUCCCGUACAUGCAAGUUUAUGAAUCAUAGCAGUAUCCUGAGUAAGUCGGGACACGUGUAAUCCUGACCGAAUCCGCCGGGACCAUCCGGCAAGGCUAAAUACUCCUGAGAGACCGAUAGUGAACCAGUACCGUGAGGGAAAGGUGAAAAGCACUUCGAACAGAAGAGUGAAAUAGUCCCUGAACCCAUACGCCUACAAGCAGUCGGAGCCGCUUCGUGCGGUGACGGCGUGCCUUUUGCAUAAUGAGCCUACGAGUUACUCAUCACCAGCGAGGUUAAGUACUUCAGGUACGUAAGCCGAAGCGAAAGCGAGUCUGAAUAGGGCGUCAAGUUGGUGGUGGUAGACGCGAAACCUUAGUGAUCUACCCAUGGGCAGGGUGAAGGUUUGGUAACACAAACUGGAGGCCCGAACCGGUAAACGUUGAAAAGUUUUCGGAUGACCUGUGGGUAGGGGUGAAAGGCCAAUCAAACUGGGAAAUAGCUCGUACUCUCCGAAAUGCAUUUAGGUGCAGCCUCUGUUGUUUUGUUCUAGAGGUAGAGCUACUGAUUGGAUGCGAGGGCUUCACCGCCUAUCAAAUCCGGCCAAACUCCGAAUGCUAGAACAUGAAGACAGGGAGUGAGCCAGCGGGUGCUAAGGUCCGUUGACGAAAGAGGGAGAACUCAGACCAUCAGCUAAGGUCCCCAAUUAUAUGCUAAGUUGGAAUUAAAACGGGGUGGGACUGCUUAGACAGCUAGGAUGUUGGCUUGGAAGCAGCCAUUCAUUUAAAGAGUGCGUAACAGCUCACUAGUCGAGCGGUCCUGCAUGGAUAAUACGCGGGCAUAAGCAUAUAACCGAAGCUAUGGGAUUGUAGAUGAUACAAUCGGUAGGAGAGCAUUCCAUUCAGCGUAGAAGCAGUAUCGUGAGGUAUUGUGGAGCGGAUGGAAAAGCAAAUGUAGGCAUAAGUAACGAUAAUGCGGGUGAGAACCCCGCACGCCGAAAGAUCAAGGAUUCCCCGGCAAUGUCAAUCAUCCGGGGGUAAGUCGGAUCCUAAGGGUAAGCCGAGUGGCGAUCCCGAUGGCAAACAGGUUAAUAUUCCUGUACUGAUCAUAACUGCGAUGCAGCGACGCAGAGGUGACACUGCUGCGUACUGACGGAAUAGUACGUUGAAACCCGUAUUCUUUGAUACCGGUAGUGAAGCACGCCGGUAGAGAUGAAAGGUGAUAGUACCGCAAUGCUUCGGUUGCGCGGAUAAUGCAGGUAAGCUGACUGCCAAGAAAACCUGCUAAGCUUCAGGUAAUGAUCAUCCGUACUGUAAACGGACACACGUGAUCAGGUAGAAAAUACUAAGGCGCUCGAGAGAUUCAUGGUUAAGGAACUAGGCAAAAUGGUCCUGUAACUUCGGGAUAAAGGACGCUCUUGUGAAAGAGCCGCAGAUAAUAGGCCCAGGCGACUGUUUACCAAAAACACAUGGCUAUGCUAAUUCGCAAGAAGAUGUAUAUGGCCUGACACCUGCCCGGUGCCGGAAGGUUAAGAGGAGAGCUCAGAGGCAACUCGAAGGUUUGAAUUGAAGCCCCGGUAAACGGCGGCCGUAACUAUAACGGUCCUAAGGUAGCGAAAUUCCUUGUCGGGUAAGUUC
rnacentral:rRNA from 1 species